UAUAUGAGGUUCGAAGAACUUGCUUGAUUCACUUUCUGUCAAAAUCUGAGAUAGCAAGAUUCUAAAUGACUAAUUAUUUUUUGUUUGCUAGGUACCUUCUUAAAGCAUCGUUGGUUUCUGCACUUCCACCACUUGCCUUGAAACCAAAUUCUAGUGAUGUAGGUGCAUUUCACCAACUUUUGGUUGAUCAACCCAAUUUACCAAACGAGGAAGUACAGUACAACUUCGGCAUCAUAUUAGCGGAAGAGAUAUGUUGAUUUCUAUAAACAAAUUUUGCUUCCCUUUUUCUGUUGAAUUAGUGCCAAAGAC